AGAGCGAACGCUGGCGGCAGGCUUAACACAUGCAAGUCGAGCGGGCACUUCGGUGUCAGCGGCAGACGGGUGAGUAACACGUGGGAACGUACCCUUCGGUUCGGAACAACUCUGGGAAACUGGAGCUAAUACCGGAUACGCCCUUUUGGGGAAAGGCUUGCUGCCGAAGGAUCGGCCCGCGUCUGAUUAGCUAGUUGGUGGGGUAAUGGCCUACCAAGGCGACGAUCAGUAGCUGGUCUGAGAGGAUGAUCAGCCACAUUGGGACUGAGACACGGCCCAAACUCCUACGGGAGGCAGCAGUGGGGAAUAUUGGACAAUGGGCGCAAGCCUGAUCCAGCCAUGCCGCGUGUGUGAUGAAGGCCUUAGGGUUGUAAAGCACUUUCGACGGGGACGAUAAUGACGGUACCCGUAGAAGAAGCCCCGGCUAACUUCGUGCCAGCAGCCGC
rnacentral:rRNA from 1 species